GAUGAACGCUGGCGGCGUGCCUAAUACAUGCAAGUCGAGCGAACAGAUGAGGAGCUUGCUCCUCUGACGUUAGCGGCGGACGGGUGAGUAACACGUGGAUAACCUACCUAUAAGACUGGGAUAACUUCGGGAAACCGGAGCUAAUACCGGAUAAUAUAUUGAACCGCAUGGUUCAAUAGUGAAAGACGGUUUUGCUGUCACUUAUAGAUGGAUCCGCGCCGCAUUAGCUAGUUGGUAAGGUAACGGCUUACCAAGGCAACGAUGCGUAGCCGACCUGAGAGGGUGAUCGGCCAGACUGGAACUGAGACACGGUGGAGACUCCUAGGGGAGGCAGCAGUGGGGAAUCUUCCAAAAUGGGCGAAAGCCUGACGGAGCAAAGCAGCGUAAAUGAAAAAGGUCUUCGACUCGUAAAACUCUGUCAUUAGGGAAGAACAAAUGUGUAAGUAACUAUGCACGACUUGACGGGACAUAAUCAGAAAGGCACGGCUAACGACGUG
rnacentral:rRNA from 1 species